rnacentral:rRNA from 1 species
AGAGCGAACGUUAGCGGCGGGCUUAACACAUGCAAGUCGAGCGGUAAGGCUCCUUCGGGAGUACACGAGCGGCGAACGGGUGAGUAACACGUGAGCAAUCUGCCCUUCACUUCGGGAUAACUCCGGGAAACCGGUGCUAAUACCGAAUACGACCACUUCAGGCA